GGUCGAAUACCGAAAGUUAGAGUACUGAGUCAUUGAGUACUGUAAUCGCAUACAAAUGACAUGGUGCGUCUCAUUGUACCUUGCAUUGAGCUUUACGCAGCAAGGUAAUUGAAAACGAAUACUUUAGAUCUGUGUGUAUUCAUUAGGUAUAUAUGUGUAAGUAAAGGUCAGUUUACAGACCGUCUACCUGAUUGUAUUCUGUUCUUACAACUGAUAUGAUCUGUUGUUUCGUUGUUGUUAUAUUUUGGUGUUGACGUCAUCGAUCUAAGCAUCGUAAGAUUCUGACAUAUUUUGCGUUUAUUCUUCCAAAUAUUUAUUUGUAUAUUUCAUUUUCAUAUCGUAUAUUGUAUUUUUUUAACGCUAUUUGUGAUUUGUGUUUAACACAUCAUUGCAAUAUCUGGUUAUAAUAUCACAUGUAUAUCUUAUACAGUUUAUAUAAGAAUCUGAAAAAAAAAUCGUUCCGUUCUUAGUUUUGUACAUAUACUUGUAAUAAAAUAAAAA
rnacentral:sRNA from 1 species